rnacentral:lncRNA from 1 species
UCAAAUUUAAAAGUACCCGAGAAUGAAGUGAACAAUUAGGAUAUAACUGUAUAAGAGAGAGUGAAGUUAACAAAAUUUGUUAUAUCGUUUUACGGCAUUGAUAAUACAAAGACCACUGUCAGUGUAUCUAAGAAACUAAAACGAGAUGACUAACAACAGAAAUCCUCAGUCAGGGCAUUCCUUCGGUGGGCUUUCACCAUUUACUCCACCAUAGCAUCCAGGGAAGUUUUUGCAGCCGGUUUUUGAGAUUUUCUCUUGUUCUUACCUGAAGAGAGAGAUGGAGGUUAAACUCAAUACUCACAUAAGCAAUUAACAGCUAAAACUCAAUUUACGUACAUUUUAACAUUCAUUACAUCAUAAAACUGAAUGUAAAACACCCACCUUGCCCCUAUUUCAACAUUGUGACAUAGGGAAAUAUGUUGAAAUCUGAAAAUUUACUGGAUUCAAAAUUGCAACACUUCAUUACCUCUUAAACAAGCAAAUAUUCACGAGAAAAAACAUUAAAACAUCUUACUGUAGAAUUUGUUCAAUUCAGAAACGUUUUCACAACCAAAGCCCUAAAAGACGUGAAUUCUAGGGCCCGUUUAGUAGUAAUUUUGAGAAUUGAUUUUUUUGACCAUUAAGGAGAAAAGUGGAAGCCACAUGUGAGUGAAGUCAUUUGAAUAAUGAAAUAACGGUCAAAAAAUCAUUUUUUUUGGAUGAAAAAUCAUAACCAAACGAGGCCCUAAGGGGCUUUAUUCAAUGAAGAUUGUCAAAUAUGAUAGGAUUAAGCUCAAGUACUAUGCCAAGUUUAAUUAGUUUUGUUGUGCAUAUAUGAGAAGAAUAUGUGUGAUGAUCCUGGACUAAAUUGUUUUCAAAAAAACUGUAUCAGUAGAUCCUAAUUACUUCUCAUGAUUCAUAACACCCCACAAAUCAUGAAAAAUAAUCCACCUCGUAAAGAUGACAAAUCAACA